rnacentral:rRNA from 1 species
AGUGAACGCUGGCGGUAGGCCUAACACAUGCAAGUCGAACGGCAGCACAGUAAGAGCUUGCUCUUACGGGUGGCGAGUGGCGGACGGGUGAGGAAUACAUCGGAAUCUACUUUUUCGUGGGGGAUAACGUAGGGAAACUUACGCUAAUACCGCAUACGACCUACGGGUGAAAGCAGGGGAUCUUCGGACCUUGCGCGAUUGAAUGAGCCGAUGUCGGAUUAGCUAGUUGGCGGGGUAAAGGCCCACCAAGGCGACGAUCCGUAGCUGGUCUGAGAGGAUGAUCAGCCACACUGGAACUGAGACACGGUCCAGACUCCUACGGGAGGCAGCAGUGGGGAAUAUUGGACAAUGGGCGCAAGCCUGAUCCAGCCAUACCGCGUGGGUGAAGAAGGCCUUCGGGCUGUAAGGCCCUUUUGUUGGGAAAGAAAAGCAGCAGGUUAAUACCCCGCUGUUCUGACGGUACCCAAAGAAUAAGCACCGGCUAACUUCGUG